AAUCUAUACAGUGAAACUGCGAAUGGCUCAUUAAAUCAGUUAUCGUUUAUUUGAUAGUACCUUACUACUUGGAUAACCGUGGUAAUUCUAGAGCUAAUACAUGCUAAAAACCUCGACUUCGGAAGGGGUGUAUUUAUUAGAUAAAAAACCAAUGCCCUUCGGGGCUCCUUGGUGAUUCAUAAUAACUUAACGAAUCGCAUGGCCUUGUGCCGGCGAUGGUUCAUUCAAAUUUCUGCCCUAUCAACUUUCGAUGGUAGGAUAGUGGCCUACCAUGGUUUCAACGGGUAACGGGGAAUUAGGGUUCUAUUCCGGAGAGGGAGCCUGAGAAACGGCUACCACAUCCAAGGAAGGCAGCAGGCGCGCAAAUUACCCAAUCCCGACACGGGGAGGUAGUGACAAUAAAUACUGAUACAGGGCUCUUUUGGGUCUUGUAAUUGGAAUGAGUACAAUUUAAAUCCCUUAACGAGGAACAAUUGGAGGGCAAGUCUGGUGCCAGCAGCCGCGGUAAUUCCAGCUCCAAUAGCGUAUAUUAAAGUUGUUGCAGUUAAAAAGCUCGUAGUUGAACCUUGGGCCUGGUUGGUCGGUCCGCCUCACCGCGUGCACUGAUCCGACCGGGUCUUUCCUUCUGGGGAGCCGCAUGCCCUUCACUGGGUGUGUCGGGGAACCAGGACUUUUACUUUGAAAAAAUUAGAGUGUUCAAAGCAGGCCUAUGCUCGAAUACAUUAGCAUGGAAUAAUAGAAUAGGACGUGUGGUUCUAUUUUGUUGGUUUCUAGGACCGCCGUAAUGAUUAAUAGGGAUAGUCGGGGGCAUCAGUAUUCCGUUGUCAGAGGUGAAAUUCUUGGAUUUACGGAAGACUAACUACUGCGAAAGCAUUUGCCAAGGGAUGUUUUCAUUAAUCAGUGAACGAAAGUUAGGGGAUCGAAGACGAUCAGAUACCGUCGUAGUCUUAACCAUAACUAUGCCGACUAGGGAUCGGGCGAUGUUAUCUU
rnacentral:rRNA from 1 species